UUAGGACUCUACUUGAAUGGUUAGAGAAACAAGGAUUUAUCACUAGUUGUCCAAACUCGUGCAGAAGGUUAUUGGCAGCAUUGGCUUCUGACAAACCAGUAUGCGCAAUUGUGCCCCCCAAAGAAGAAGUUUUGGACCUCUUGAUAAGGAUGUCUGAUGGAGCCAAUCCAAAGACAAUCCUUCGACUGAUUUAAAACUUCUUCAUGAAGAAGUGCCCUUACUGUUUAACGUCAUUGAGACUAGCGAAGAAAUUCCAAUUACUAUUCAACCGCUGCUAAAGGAAUUGGUACAAAAGGCGAUAAGUCCGUUCGAGGUCAAGGACGGUCAGUGGCGUUUGCCACACAACUUACCUGCGGUGUCUCAAAAUUCGUCCCAUGGAUAUCUACCUUCUCUGCCAGAACUGGUUCAACGAGGGAAUUAUGUUCUUGACAAUAGGAAGACACAGCAGGGAGAUUGUGCCAAAGUCACUAGACCCAAGAAGAAGCAUGGCACUUUGAUCCCUGGAAUAUUUUGUAUUCUUUGUCCCCACGGUAUAUGUUAUGGAUUCGAAAUAAUGAGGGAUCACGAAUCACCAAAUAUCCCAUUUACCAUUUUACGAACACGUUUUCCUGAUGCGCCAGAGUUGGUCAUUUACGAUAAUGCCUGCAGAUUGCACGAGUAUUGUUUGAACCGAGAUCCAGCAUUUUUUAAGAAAACAAAAUUUGUUGUUGAUAAGUUUCAUUGGAAAAAUCAUUCAGGAUGCUGCGAAGGAUAUAACAUGAAAUUGUACCCCAUGCUCAAUAUGUACAAUAGCCAAGCUGCUGAACAGUGCAAUUCGUGUAUUAAGCCUCUUGCCUCCAUGGUUUCUUACAUGGAAUACGAUA